ACAUGCAAGUCGAGGGGCAGCAUGGUCUUAGCUUGCUAAGGCCGAUGGCGACCGGCGCACGGGUGAGUAACACGUAUCCAACCUGCCGUCUACUCUUGGACAGCCUUCUGAAAGGAAGAUUAAUACAAGAUGGCAUCAUGAGUCCGCAUGUUCACAUGAUUAAAGGUAUUCCGGUAGACGAUGGGGAUGCGUUCCAUUAGAUAGUAGGCGGGGUAACGGCCCACCUAGUCUUCGAUGGAUAGGGGUUCUGAGAGGAAGGUCCCCCACAUUGGAACUGAGACACGGUCCAAACUCCUACGGGAGGCAGCAGUGAGGAAUAUUGGUCAAUGGGCGAGAGCCUGAACCAGCCAAGUAGCGUGAAGGAUGACUGCCCUAUGGGUUGUAAACUUCUUUUAUAAAGGAAUAAAGUCGGGUAUGUAUACCCGUUUGCAUGUACUUUAUGAAUAAGGAUCGGCUAACUCCGUGCCAGCAGCCGCGGUAAUACGGAGGAUCCGAGCGUUAUCCGGAUUUAUUGGGUUUAAAGGGAGCGUAGAUGGAUGUUUAAGUCAGUUGUGAAAGUUUGCGGCUCAACCGUAAAAUUGCAGUUGAUACUGGAUAUCUUGAGUGCAGUUGAGGCAGGCGGAAUUCGUGGUGUAGCGGUGAAAUGCUUAGAUAUCACGAAGAACUCCGAUUGCGAAGGCAGCCUGCUAAGCUGCAACUGACAUUGAGGCUCGAAAG
rnacentral:rRNA from 1 species